rnacentral:rRNA from 1 species
AACGAACGCUGGCGGCAUGCCUAACACAUGCAAGUCGAACGAGACCUUCGGGUCUAGUGGCGCACGGGUGCGUAACGCGUGGGAACCUGCCCUUAGGUUCGGAAUAACUCCCCGAAAGGGGUGCUAAUACCGGAUAAUGUCUUCGGACCAAAGAUUUAUCGCCUUUGGAUGGGCCCGCGUUGGAUUAGCUAGUUGGUAGGGUAAAAGCCUACCAAGGCGACGAUCCAUAGCUGGUCUGAGAGGAUGAUCAGCCACACUGGGACUGAGACACGGCCCAGACUCCUACGGGAAGCAGCAGUGGGGAAUAUUGGACAAUGGGCGAAAGCCUGAUCCAGCAAGGCCGCGUGAGUGAUGAAGGCCUUAGGGUUGUAAAGCUCUUUUACCCGGGAUGAUAAUGACAGUACCGGGAGAAUAAGCUACGGCUAACUCCGUG